rnacentral:tRNA from 1 species
CCGCCCAUAGCUCAAUUGGCAGAGCUGCUCCCUCUUAAGGAGAAGGUUGUAGGUUCGAGUCCUACUGGGCGGA